GACAAGUACAGCCUCAUCUGGUUACAGCCCAGCCCGGCCUGGGGGGUCUCGUACCUCACCGUGUACAACAUCGGCGCGGCGGAUUCAGGAGAGUAUCACUGCCACGCGUCACCGGCCGGUGCCUGUGUCACGGGAGACGUUCUCAGCCGUCCGAUUCGGCUGCUGGUGUCAGGGGAUGUGGUAAGAGAAUGUGGACAGGAUGUAACAGGUCCCCUUUCAGUGGGGAUCCUGAACAUUGUACAGACGAUACAGAUCACAGUCCUUCUGGGAUCCUUCGUUGCUUUUAAUGUUUACUGGAGACUGAAGGUGUCAGCGUACCCCGAAGGGAGGAGCUCCCCAGUCGCGCUGACAAAGGAUGACACCUCCGGGGGGGGUCCCAUGCAGGCUGAGACAGAGAACGACACUGAACUGGACUAUGAUGACUGUGCGACUGUGUGAUACAUACACGCGGUCAUCGGAGCAGCACUGGCCUGGGAUCAGCGUUUAAAUGUCAACUUGCUACGAUUAAUUAAGAUUUGGUUCCUCCUUGCUGUUUGCGUCCUGUUUCUUUUCUUUUUCAUCGGUGCUGCUUUCUUUUGUCAAGGAGCAUGACCUCCCCCUGCUGUCAAUCAUCUGCAUUACCAGUUAUUUACUGGGCUGUCAGACUGAAGCAGAAUCCCAAUAGUACAGCUUCUGAGAUACUGUACUAUCAGCCUUUUCUGGAUGGGACCCCUUUUCCUUCUGAACUCUUUAAUGAAAUACAUUGCUUUAACAAAACAAGAAAUAUUAACAGAGGUGUCUAUACACUUUUAUAAAAUGCUACCUUUUUUGCGCACUUGCUUAUGCAAAUGUGAAAUGGUAUAAAACAAGCAAGGCUUGUGACAGUGAAAUAAAAUGAAGAUCAGGCACGUAAGUCGAUCCAUCAGGGUACUGGACAGAAAUCAGACCUAAAGUACAGUGUGUAACCAGCCCUGGUCAUCAUCUCAGGGUAUUGUGGAGAAGCGAAUGGCUUAGCUAGUUGGUGGAAAGAAAGGUGACAGCAAAGGCUUCUGGGAUGUUGUUCAUAAUGGCCAAUUAAAACACAAGAGAUUUUGAAGGUGAAAUGUAAAAUUCUGGUAUAAAACCCUUGGGGUGGGUGGGGGGGUGACAGAGGAAUUUCCUUAAGUGGAUAUAGCUCAGCGUAGAACACCAGCACUUAAUUUCAAAAACACAAACAUAGUGCAAUUAGAAUCUAAAAGCAAACUAAUAUCCACCAUCUGUAGGAAGAAACGGUAGUUUUAACUAACUCUGAGUCACCAGCUUAAAGGUGUUAUAGCAGCUAUAGGAGCUAAACCGUAACAGAAAUCAAAGGCAAGACAGAGAAACAGCAGCAGCGCAUUGACCCUGGUGGAGGAGGCACACAGGAGUGGGCCAGACAGACUCAGACGCUGAUUUCUAAGAAAGAGGAAGUGACACAGCCUCAAACUGAGACACACAGACACACCGGUCUGCUGCUGCCGACGCACACAUACAUUAUUCUUAAUGUGCUUAUUUUUGUGAUUCUGUAUUAUUCUAAAGGAAUUGCAAGGUAUUGCAAUAGGAAAAAAAUCUGAAUCAAGCUAAAAGCUUGAAAUAUCUUAUUGAGCUAUUAACUUUAAAGUCCAGACAGAACCUAAACGGAGAGAAAAUAUCACUGAACAAUAAGGAGCUCAAACAAAACUACGAAAUAUGGAAGGGGUGGUGUCUGGGGGACUAGGUGUUGUUUCCAUUAGAAACAGCGCUCCUUCAGUUAACCUCUUAGUGAGGACAAGAGAUCCGAGAAGCAGAUUCACAGAGACCCUGAUCUUCAGAGAAUAACCAUAAUUAAAAUUAUAAUUCUAUAAUGGCAGUUAUGACAGGAGUGAUUGGACUGUUAAGUCUGGUGCUAAUAAAUCAGCUUGAAGUUUUCUUUAAGAUGUUGGAACAAUGUUUAAUGAAAUGUGCAAGAUAAUAUCAGUGAUAUUAACAAUGAAAAACAAUAGAGCAUCUCAGAGGUAAGACAAUAUUUACCAGUUUAUAUAAGGUAAAGAUAGAAGCUUCUUUUUGUUCUGUUUAGCAAGUGUUUGUGUGACAUGGAGAUUCUGAAUAGAUGGAUAAUUAAAAAUUAAUCAAACUAAAACCUUC